rnacentral:rRNA from 1 species
UACGUAGGGGGCUAGCGUUGUCCGGAAUCAUUGGGCGUAAAGAGCGUGUAGGCGGUCCGGUAAGUCCGCUGUGAAAGUCGGGGGCUCAACCCUCGAAUGCCGGUGGAUACUGUCGGGCUAGAGUGCGGAAGAGGCGAGUGGAAUUCCUGGUGUAGCGGUGGAAUGCGCAGAUAUCAGGAGGAACACCAAUAGCGAAGGCAGCUCGCUGGGACGGUACUGACGCUGAGGCGCGAAAGCGUGGGGAGCAAACAGG